rnacentral:rRNA from 1 species
GACGAACGCUGGCGGCGCGCCUAACACAUGCAAGUCGAACGAGCGAGAGAGAGCUUACUUUCUCGAGCGAGUGGCGAACGGGUGAGUAACGCGUGAGGAACCUGCCUCAAAGAGGGGGACAACAGUUGGAAACGACUGCUAAUACCGCAUAAGCCCACGGGUCGGCAUCGACCAGAGGGAAAAGGAGCAAUCCGCUUUGAGAUGGCCUCGCGUCCGAUUAGCUAGUUGGUGAGGUAACGGCCCACCAAGGCAACGAUCGGUAGCCGGACUGAGAGGUUGAACGGCCACAUUGGGACUGAGACACGGCCCAGACUCCUACGGGAGGCAGCAGUGGGGAAUAUUGCACAAUGGGGGAAACCCUGAUGCAGCGACGCCGCGUGGAGGAAGAAGGUCUUCGGAUUGUAAACUCCUGUUGUUGAGGAAGAUAAUGACGGUACUCAACAAGGAAGUGACGGCUAACUACGUGCCAGCAGCCGCGGU